UUUUGCUGGUAUGGAGUUCAUCUUCCAGGGGUGUGAUUUUUCUUGUCUUGAUGAUGCUGAUCAGAGACGUUUGUGCAGAUAUAUUGAAGAACUUUGGUCUGCAUUUGGUUUGGCUGGACACCUGCCCAUCUGUGCCUUUUUUAUUCCUGGAAAGCCUCCAGUAACUCGUAUUAUUGCGGUUAUUUAUACAAUAAAAUGCCUGCCUUUG